AACGUCCAUACCACACGGAAUACGCCGGUUCUUGUUGGAUCAACGAAGUUAAACAGCGUCGGGCGCGGUCAGUAUUUAGAUGGGUGACCGCCUGGGAACACCGAGUGAUGUU